rnacentral:lncRNA from 1 species
UGCUGUAUAUGUUGAUUUCAGUAGGUUUAGGUUCACUAUUUGGAAUAAGAUACACCUAGAAAGAAUCUAUCGAUCUUGGUAGAAAAGAUGAAGUCCUAUGUGAUUUGCGAGACCGAGUUCAAAAAGUUUUUGGCCAAAACAAGUGUGAAUAUCGAAAAAAAAAAUUUAUCGAAUUCACAAAUAAACUCGAGUCGAGCCAAUCAUGCAUAUGACUGACAAUGAGAUCUGACGACUUCUCCAUGACCUCUAUCAAGUCG